UACGAAGGGGGCUAGCGUUGUUCGGAAUCACUGGGCGUAAAGGGCGCGUAGGCGGCUGUUCAAGUCGGGGGUGAAAUCCUGUGGCUCAACCACAGAAUGGCCUCGAUACUGGACGGCUAGAGACCGGAAGAGGUGAGUGGAACUGCGAGUGUAGAGGUGAAAAUUCGUAGAUAUUCGCAAGAACACCAGUGGCGAAGGCGGCUCACUGGUCCGGUUCUGACGCUGAGGCGCGAAAGCGUGGGGAGCAAACAGG
rnacentral:rRNA from 1 species